CUCCUGCGCACGUAAAUAAAUCCUCCCUGGUAAGCUCGGGAUAGAAGUGUGCACCCAAGUAACAGAACUUUCAUUGUGGUAUCGUUUUUAAAAGGUAAGCGAAGAGCGGCUCGUUUGUUCCUCACAAGAUGCCAAACAAAAGCACUACUGAACCGCACAAACUUCGGUAAACUAGAUACAGAUGGCAGCAGCAGGUAAAGCAGGACACUGAAGGCACUCUUUAUUCGCUUUUAAAAUAUGUGGUGAGUUUAAAAAAAAAAAAACAAAACAGAAAAAUAAAAGUAAAAGGGAAAAAAAAUAAAAAGAAAAGAAUUAAAGCCUGCUCUAAAGCUCACUGAAGUCAACAGGAAGACUUUGAAAAGGGAACUCCUGGAAAGAGUAGUUUCAAGCAAAGAGAGUGAAGCUUUUUGCCAGGUCCUCCUGUACAAGCCCAUAAAAGCAGACCCCGCUCCUGCUUUCUAACUAUGAGAUCGCGCUGGUUUCUAGGCACUUAACUCCUGGUGUACGCCAGCCUAGCCGAGAAGAAAACAAGGCCUGCUGCCAGCCACGGAGCGGCUCGGGAUCACAUCCCCGAUCGGGGGCACGGGCAGCCCCCCGGGCCGCGCAAGCUGCCCUCCGUCCCGCAGGCCUAUCUGCCUCAUCCCCUUCCUUCCCACCGCCCCCAAAAAGUAGACAACUUAUAGAUGUUCUGACCUGACGCAACCCAGGCUUUAUUCAACUUCACUGCAAUGUACAGACCGACCCGGGAGGAACGCGCCCAUCCAGGGAGAGAUGUUUAUUUGAGGUGACAGCCACCCUUCAGCCUCCUUCCUGGAGAAGCCCCUGUCCGCCGAGCCCAACGGCUCCCGGCUCCUGAGGGGAAAGGCGACCAACGGCUGCCCGCUCCUCGGGGGGCGCGGGCGGGCGACACCGCACGCCGCGGCGGGCUGAGGGGCGGCGGCGGCGAGGGGCCCGGCGGGGGGCGGCCGCAGCAGGCCGCGCGGGGCGGGGGGAGGAGGGGGCGCCCGGGCCGGGACGCUGCCGGCCCCGCCACAGCCGCACAAGCCGCCCUUUGUCCUCCUGCGGGUCCCGGGCUUCCCCCCUUCCUCUCCCCUCAACCUCCCGCCUUCUCCGGGGGUCCGGGCUUGCUUGCGGCGAGACAUCCUAAAAGCAAACAGCUGAAGUUGUUUCAAUUUCAACCCUAUGAGAAACUACACUUCCUCACCGCCGAGGAGACCCUGCGCGACUUGCGCUGCUCCGCCGCCGGCUCCCUGCUCGCCUCUGCCCGCCCGGUCCCUGCCGGCGCUGGCCGGGGGGCUCGCAGCCGCCUCGGCCAGGCAGCCGCCACCAAAACUUUCCGAGCUGUCAGCCCCCAGCUCCCUUCCCCGAUCCCCCCCCCCCCCC